GUAGAGCUGACAUUCGAAGCCAUUAUUCUCAAAGUCGUCUUUGCACCCACACUUGAUUUCUCAAAGCACGUCAUAAUUCAAUUUGCAGACGAAGAAGUUUCUGCUCUAUAUAAGCAUCAUAUCCACUCUUUGGAUGCCAGAAGAGCAGGGAAGAGAAGAAGAAGAAGAGAGAGAGAGAUGAAUUGGAUUAGCAGGAAAGUUUUCCUUUACAAGGUGACGUUCGGAUUGUAUGUGCUCGAGUGGUGGGAGCAGUGCCUCUUCAACUUAUUUCUCCUGUUUCUGGUUUGGAUCAUUUUUCAACUUACUUCCAGUUGUUUGAGGUCAACAUUCUUUGUUGGUGGAAGCUCUGCAAUCAUAGGGAUAUUGAUCUCUUAAAGAUGGUGGAAUUGGAGCAAAAGCAAAAGGAGGUGCAGCUGCUGCUUGCAAACCAUGUGAUGAUGUGUCCAUAAGACUUUGGAUUGGAGCUUUUAUGUAAAUCAUCUAUUUCAAAUAAGAAAUUAGAUUGUGCCUCAGCUAUAUUUCUAUUAAAGAAUUCUACAGAUUUGG